ACAAGAAUGUGCCCAACCUUCACGUCAUGAAGGCCACGCAGUCUCUUAAGUCUCGAGGCUACGUGAAGGAGCAGUUUGCUUGGAGACAUUUCUACUGGUACCUCACGAAUGAGGGCAUCCAGUAUCUCCGAGAUUACCUGCACCUACCUCUGGGGAUCGUGCCCGCCACCCUGCGCCACAGCCGUCCCGAGACCGGUAGGCCUCAGCCCAAAGGUUGAGAGGGUAAGAAGCCUGCAAGAUUCACAAGAGGGGAGGCAGACAGAGACACCUACAGACGGAGUGCUGUGCCCCCUGGAACUGACAAGAAAGCUGAGGCUGGGGCUGGCUCAGCAACGGAAUUCCAGUUUAGAGGGGG
rnacentral:lncRNA from 1 species